GUCUACAGCUAUUCCACAUUGAGUUUGCCUGAUCUCCUGUGAUCUCAGAAGCUAAGCAGGGUUGGGCUUGGUUAGAACUCAGAAAAUAUAGUUGGUCAUAUUACAUUAGGCC
ensembl:rRNA nuclear encoded rRNA 5S 164